UAAUGUGAUUCAGAAGCAGGGCUCUGGGCGGCAAACUAAAGAACCACAUCCAAAUGCAGAAUCUACAAGCAAGAGGUUUCCGUAUUCUGGGGAUGGACAGCACUUUCGCGCACAUGCUUUUUUCGUUUCAUGCUAGGCCGGAAAGUGAGCACUUUCCAGAAAUUGAAGGAAAACCCUCACUGAAGGAGAUACACGUUAUCUACAGAUAUAUCUUAAAACCCAGCUCUAGAAGGCCAUCUGUGAUAUAUAAGGCAGAGGGGCAAAGCUUUGCCUUGAUUCAGAAAAAUGACUCUGUCGUGUGCCAGCUGUGGGGCUUUGUGAACGUUACUGGGUGCCCCUGGAUGAGUUUUCCAUAAGUAUAAAUCUGGAAUACUUCUGUUCAGAAAGAAAUUUUAAUAAAUCCCUGCCUAAAUAUUUACCUCAAAAAAAGUGAACGCAGUCGGAAAGAUCCAAUGACUGAGGAACUGCGACUUCCGACAACUGAAGAGGAAGGGGCACCUGGGUGGCUCAGUCCAUUAAGCGUCUGACUUCAGCUCAGGUCAGGAUCUCACGGUUCGUGAGUUCGAGCCCCGCGUCGGGCUCUGUGCUGGCAGCCCGGAGCCUGGGGCCCGCUUCGGAUUCCGUGUCCCCCCUCUCUCUGUGCCCCUCCCUUGCUCACACUUUGUCUCUCUCAAAUAUAAACAUUAAAUUUUUUUUUUUAAACGUUGAAGACGAAGCUUUGGUUGCACACCUUCCAAGAAACGCUGAUCCCCGCAUGUUUCUGUCCAAGUUGAAAAGAUUCUCCCUGUGUCCCAGCACCCCACACCGCCUAGCUUGGAAGUGGCCUCUGGUGUAGACACGUGCCCUCGCUCCAGAACCGGUCAGAAAAGGGCUGGGGAUUCCACUUCAGCCCUCCGAAGUCACUCAAAUGCACCAAAGGGGCACCUUCUCCCAGGAGGCGAGGCGCCCUUCUCAGGUCCCCUUCCUACCACCCCCAACUUUAAGGCUUUCACGGGUACCCAGAGAUCAGGAUACCACCAGUCUCAUUUGUGUGUGCUUGAAUACCGCAAGCAGCUGGUUUGGGAGGCCGCUUCACAAGUAUGUAAAUACAGCCUGUUUCUUUAAAUCUGUUACCUCAUUUAUUUACAUUAGAACAGAAAGCACAGCCAGAAGCAACAGCUGAUGACAGUCAUGUAAUUUUCCACAAAGACAACAAUUAAACAGCUUUGUGUUAUUUUAGCGAGCAGAUGACUUUUCUGAGUGAGUGGGAAUCAAACUAGGAUUUCAGACUUCCCACAGCCGGGACCCCCCUCAGGUAUCUGCCAGGGUCCCUGGGACUUGAAGACCAAGCUUUGGGUCCCUCUCCCUCACAGCCAGCUCUCUCUCUCCCUCUCUCUCCCCUCUCCCUCUCUCUGCCUCCCUCCCUACCUCCUCCCUCUCUCAGAAACCCGACAGGAGAACAGGGGAAAGAAACAGGAGAGGGAGAGGUUCUACCCAGAACUGGUUUCUGCUUGGCCUGCCAAUGAAUCCACAGAAUAUUUUUGAAACCGAUUUUUAUCUUUAUUAUGUUUUAAAACUUUAUUUAUUUCUUUUGAGAAAGAGAGCAAGCCCGCGGGA